rnacentral:lncRNA from 1 species
UGAGAAGGCAUAGUCGAAGAAGACUUUUUUUGAAGAAGGUUUGGUAUGGGACUUAGAAAUAUUCUUGGAUUCAAAUUCACUUUUUGACGAAGGUGUCCGUUUCGAGUUGCGUUAGACGAGCGUGAUUCAAACUAAGGUUCAUAACCGGUUUUGGCCUUAUCCGUUUCUUGAGAAGAUACAUAGAAAGCGAUAAGUAGCGAAGUCCAUGCAAGCGAGAACAUGUCAUCUUUUGGAGAAGAGAUCGUUCGUUACCAUUAUUUUCGGUUUAUUAUA